rnacentral:rRNA from 1 species
CAUGUCUUUUUGAAAAAAAUAUAAAGUCUAGUCUGCUCAAUGAAUAAAAAUUUAAAUAGCUGCAGUAUUUUGACUGUACAAAGGUAGCAUAAUAAUUAGUUUUUUAAUUGAAAGCUGGAAUGAAGGAUUGGACGAGAAAAUUACUGUCUCAAUAUUAAAAAUUGAAUUUAACUUUUUAGUUAAAAGGCUAAAAUUUUUUUAAAAGACGAGAAGCCCCUAUAGAGUUUUAUAAUUAGUAUUUUUUAAUAUAAUUAGAAUUAUUAAUUUUUAAAUUAAUAUUAAUUAUUUGGUUGGGGUGAUUAAAAAAUUUAUUAAACUUUUUUAUUUUAUUAAUUAUUUAUUUGUAAAUUAAUUUUCUAUAGAUUUUUAAAAUUAAAAUAAAUUACCUUAGGGAUAACAGCGUAAUAUAUUUUUAAAGUUCUUAUUUAAAAAUUUGUUUGCGACCUCGAUGUUGGAUUAAAAUUUAUUAUUGGUGCAGGAGCUAAAUAAUUAAGUCUGUUCGACUUUUAAAAUUUUACAUGAUCUGAGU